rnacentral:rRNA from 1 species
UACGUAGGGGGCAAGCGUUGUCCGGAUUUAUUGGGCGUAAAGCGCUCGCAGGUGGUUCGAUGCGUCGUGCGUGAAAGACCCCGGCUCAACUGGGGAGGGUCGUGCGAUACGGUCGAACUGGAGGCCAGUAGGGGGAUGCGGAAUUCCGGGUGUAGUGGUGGAAUGCGUAGAGAUCCGGAGGAACACCAGCGGCGAAGGCGGCAUCCUGGACUGGUCCUGACACUCAGGAGCGAAAGCGUGGGGAGCGAUCCGGAUUAGAUACCCGGGUAGUCCACGCUGUAAACGAUGAGUACUAGGUGUCGGGGGUAUCGACCCCCUCGGUGCCGCAGCUAACGCGAUAAGUACUCCGCCUGGGGACUACGGCCGCAAGGCUAAA